rnacentral:rRNA from 1 species
GACGAACGCUGGCGGCGUGCUUAACACAUGCAAGUCGAAAGAUGAACCCGGAGCUAGCUCCGGCGGAUUAGUAGCGAACGGGUGAGUAACACGUGAGUAACCUGCCCUUGACUCUGGGAUAACUGCGGGAAACUGUAGCUAAUAACGGAUAAGACCAUCUGCGGCAUCGCCAUGGGGUGGAAAGAAUUUCGGUCAAGGAUGGACUCGCGGCCUAUCAGCUAGUUGGUGAGGUAACGGCUCACCAAGGCGACGACGGGUAGCCGGCCUGAGAGGGUGACCGGCCACACGGGGACUGAGACACGGCCCCGACUCCUACGGGAGGCAGCAGUGGGGAAUAUUGCACAAUGGGCGCAAUCCUGAUGCAGCAACGCCGCGUGAGGGAUGACGGCCUUCGGGUUGUAGACCUCUUUUAGCAGGGAAGAAGCGAAAGUGACGGUACCUGCAGAAAAAGCGCCGGCUAACUACGUGCCAGCAGCCGCCGUAA